CCAAACGGGGGAUGGCCUCAUGUACGGCGAGUGAAGCGGCAAAAGCUCAAAUUUGAAAUCUAGCACUUUCAGUGUUCGAGCCUUCUUUUGAAGAAGGUAACUUUGGUUUUGGCUCUUGUCUAUGCUUCUUGGAACAGGACGUCACAGAGGGUGAGAAUCCCGUGCGAUGAGAUGCCCAAUUCCAUGUAAAGUGCUUUCGAAGAGUCGAGUUGUUUGGGAAUGCAGCUCUAAGUGGGUGGUAAAUUCCAUCUAAAGCUAAAUAUUGGCGAGAGACCGAUAGCGAACAAGUACAGUGAUGGAAAGAUGAAAAGAACUUUGAAAAGAGAGUGAAAAAGUACGUGAAAUUGUUGAAAGGGAAGGGCUUGAGAUCAGACUUGGUAUUUUGCGUUCCCUUCCUUUUUGGUUGGGUUCCUCGCAGUUUACUGGGCCAGCAUCGGUUUGGAUGGUAGGAUAAUGACAUUGGAAUGUAGCUUUACUUCGGUGAAGUGUUAUAGACUUUGUUGAUACUGCCUAUCUAGACCGAGGACUGCGUCUUUGACUAGGAUGCUGGCGUAAUGAUCUUAAGCCGCCCGUCUUGAACACCGGACCAAAAAAGAAAACCAAAAUUAAAAAAAAAAAAAAAAACCCCACCCAAACAGGGGGCCGGGGGGGUGGGAACUGGUUGGUGUGUGGGUUUGGUGAUUUUC
rnacentral:rRNA from 1 species